GUGGCAAUGCCAGAAAAUGCCCUGCCUGUGUCGCUAGGAGGGUCAGAGAUCCCUGUCCCUUCCUCACCCUUCCCUAUGUCUUCCCUGCCAGAAACUCAAGAGGAGCUGGAUGAGGCCAGGGUAGAUGUAAGAGAAUCGUUCGAAACGGUCUACCGAACGCAGAUGCCCUGAACCCGGCACUUAGAGGACCGAGGGACUUGGAAAAGUCACCAGGAGCUGGCCGCAGGAAUUAGCAAGGGAGAGAGGUCAACAGCACACCGAUGCAAUGAGGUGUCCGAAGCCCUGGAUUAGAGGGAUUCUCUCCAGAGCCGUGAGUCUCGAGGCGGCUGAGUUCAGAGGUGCCUGGAUUCCAAGUGGGGAGGCUGGGGAACCCUGCAGGAUGCUUCUGAGGCGGAAGACUGGACCCAUCUGGUGACAACAAGAUAAAGAGGAAGAAGAGAGAUGGAGUGAUGUCCGUUUCCCCAGAGGAUGAAUCAACAGGUGUCAGCGGCACACUGGUGGACUGAUUCGCCACGACCAUCAUUCCCCUGGGCUGAGAAGCAACAACAACGACAACAACAACAACAACAACAACAAUCCCUAGCUGAAAAGUAGAGGUUCCAAGCCACUGAACCUGUUAUUUUAUGCUGUGGCUGCUCCCUGUACAACAGCCUCGUGUGACCCUGGGAAGCUGAGAGAGGCACUUGGUAGUCCCCACUGGAACCCGAGAAGCAAUUCAGAGGCUUAGCGCCCCCGCCCUGGUGGUGAUGUGCUGUGGAAGCCCUGCCCAUGCAUGCCUGGGAGAACAAACAGGGAAAGAAUCCAAGAUCAAGUUGUCCUUCAUCCAUUCAACCAGUGCUUACGAAGGAUCAGCUCUGGGCAAAGCACGAGCAAGCGUAUGGACAUAAACUCUAAGCAUCUAGGUCUCUAGACGCUGGAAGACUUUGGGGGACGUUUCCCCUCAUCUGCAAACGCCUUGUGCCUCGGCCGCAUUUGCAUCCCGAAUAGCAUAAGAGGAUUUGGUCUGGGCUUCACGAAUGGACGUGCGCGCGAAGGAAGGAAUACUUGAAGGGGCCACCGAGGGAGGCUGGAGGACUCAGAGACACCUCCUGGAGAAGAUGAGGUGGGGCAGAUGAGGCCUGAGAUGGACAGGCUGAGCAGAACCACGCA